AUUCUGCCCAAGCGGGGAAGGAUGAGAAGCUUCGACCAAGGUUCGACUCGAGCGCCAGCGAGAGAGCGUUGCCGCAGGCAACGACCCGUAGGGCGAAGCGCGCAGCGCUGAGUAAUCCUUCCCCCACCACCA
rnacentral:sRNA from 1 species